rnacentral:rRNA from 1 species
CACGUAGGCGGCUCUUUAAGUCAGGGGUGAAAUCCUGGAGCUCAACUCCAGAACUGCCCUUGAUACUGAGGAGCUCGAGUCCGGGAGAGGUGAGUGGAACUGCGAGUGUAGAGGUGAAAUUCGUAGAUAUUCGCAAGAACACCAGUGGCGAAGGCGGCUCACUGGCCCGGUACUGACGCUGAGGUGCGAAAGCGUGGGAGCAAACA